rnacentral:rRNA from 1 species
CCUACGGGCGGCAGCAGUGAGGAAUAUUGGUCAAUGGACGAGAGUCUGAACCAGCCAAGUAGCGUGAAGGAUGACUGCCCUAUGGGUUGUAAACCUCUUUUAUAAAGGAAUAAAACGAGGCACGUGUGCCUUUUUGCAUGUACUUUAUGAAUAAGGAUCGGCUAACUCCGUGCCAGCAGCCGCGGUAAUACGGAGGAUCCGAGCGUUAUCCGGAUUUAUUGGGUUUAAAGGGAGCGUAGAUGGGUUGUUAAGUCAGUUGUGAAAGUUUGCGGCUCAACCGUAAAAUUGCAAUUGAUACUGGCAGUCUUGAGUACAGGUGAGGUAAGCUGAAUUCGUGGUGUAGCGGUGAAAUGCUUAGAUAUCACGAAGAACCCCGAUUGCGAAGGCAGCUUACUAACCUGUGACUGACAUUGAUGCUCGAAAGUGUGGGUAUCGAACAGGAUUAGAUACCCCAGUAGUC